GGGGCGCUAGCUCAGUUGGUAGAGCAGCGGACUCUUAAUCCGUAGGUCCAGAGUUCGAAUCUCUGGCGCCCCACCA
rnacentral:tRNA from 3 species